AUGCUUAUUGCAUGGUUGAGAGAAUUUACAGAAGGAAAGGAUUUGAUAAGGCCUGCUGUCACAAGAUUUGCUACAGCUUACUUGACUCUGUCUUGUCUUGAGCAACAUAAAGGUGCACUGAUCAAUAUGUUUAGUUCAGUUAAAUGGAAGGCUAGCCGCUUUGCUUCUUUAAUAGAUGGUAAAAGAGUUCAAGAUAUUGUCAUGGACAGUAAAGGAUUUUGGCCUAAUGUUGUGGCAUGCUUGAAAGCUGCGAUGCCUCUAAUCAAGGUCCUUAGAAUGGUUGAUUCUGAUGACAAGCCAGCCAUGCCAUUUAUCUAUGCUCAGAUGGAGCAAGCAAAGGAGAGGAUAAAGGAUAAUUUUAACAAAGUGAAGAAAAGUUAUAUUCCAAUGUGGAAUAUUAUUAAUGAAAGAUGGGAAACACAACUCCAGAGGCCUCUGCAUUCAGCUGCAUAUUAUCUGAAUCCGCAUUUCCACUAUAUGCCUGAUUUCAAGGGUUCUCAAGUAAAAGUAGAGCUCUAUAAUUGCCUGAAAAGAAUGGUUCCUGAUGUAAAUGAAAGGGUAAAGAUAGACUUGCAGCUUGAUUUGUUCAAAAAUGCUAGGGGUCUAUUUGGAAUGGAGUCUGCAGUUCUGACAAGAUCAAAGAAAUCACCAGCUGAUUGGUGGGAUUCCUAUGGAGAUGAAUGCCCAGAACUGAAAAGGUUUGCCAUUCGAGUCUUAAGUUUAACAUGUAGCUCUUCAGGGUGUGAAAGGAAUUGGAGCGCCUUUCAGUUGGUACAUAUGAAGAGAAGAAACCGGCUGCACCAAGAUAAGAUGAAUGAUCUUGUGUUUGUGAUGUACAACUUCAAACUAAAAGAAAGACAGAGGAGAAGGGAUGCCAAGGCUGCACUUCAGUUGGAGGAUAUUGAAUCAGAUGAUGAAUGGAUCACAGAAAAAGAGGAUCCAGUGCUUCCUAUAAACCAAGAUUGGUUGCACUCCCUUGAUAGGAUUACUCGAAGGGAAGCACGUGCUGAUGCAGAAGAAAAUACUGGCCAUGAAGUUGAGACCAUGGCAAAGAACAUAGAUGAUGCAUUAGUUUAUUUUUCUGCUGUAGUAGUAAUAAUUAAAAAGAAAACCCAAAAAUAUUUCCCGAUCUUCUUUUGCUUGUUGGGAGCUUUCCCGUGUAAAUAG
rnacentral:rRNA from 1 species